UACGUAGGUGACAAGCGUUGUCCGGAUUUACUGGGCGUAAAGAGCGCGCAGGCGGUCGUUCAAGUCGAGUGUGAAAUCCCCCGGCUCAACUGGGGAGGGUCACUCGAUACUGAUCGACUCGAAGGCAGGAGAGGGAAGUGGAAUUCCCGGUGUAGUGGUGAAAUGCGUAGAUAUGCGGAGGAACACCGAUGGCGAAGGCGAUCCCCUGGGACGGCACUGACGCUCAUGCACGAAAGCGUGGGGAGCAAACAGG
rnacentral:rRNA from 1 species